rnacentral:lncRNA from 1 species
AUGUUUAUUUUGAAGUCUUUAUUAUUUUUCUUUUUUCUUUUUUUUUUUUUUUUUUUUUUUAAGAAAGAAAGGCAAAGCAGCCUGAAACCACAGGUUUCUUUCUUUCUUUCUUUCUUUCUUUCUUUCUUUCUUUCUUUCUGUCUUUCUUUCUUUCUUUCUUUCUUUCUUUCUUUCUUUCUUUCUUUCUUUCUUUCUGUCUUUUUUCACAGACUGCUUUUAAUCCCCUCCACCACUCACAGAAGUCCUCUCCGAGCCCUGGAAAUGAGAAACUCUGGUAGAGCGAAUGGUGAUAGCUCAUGGUUGGGCCCUUUUGGGAUCCAAGGGCGCUGUAGGCAACUAGAACGGUAUCCUUGGACUUGCAGAAAACUUCAGGAGCUUGCUCUGGUUGAGGAAAACAGAAGCCCUCUGCCUGAAGUCCACACUCACUGUCAUAGACAAGGGGACAUGGGGCUGCCCCUCGGCCAGCGGGAAAGACUUCCGUGA